UACGUAGGGUGCAAGCGUUGUCCGGAAUUAUUGGGCGUAAAGAGCUCGUAGGCGGUUUGUCGCGUCUGCUGUGAAAACUUGGGGCUUAACUCCGGGCCUGCAGUGGGUACGGGCAGACUAGAGUGCGGUAGGGGAGACUGGAAUUCCUGGUGUAGCGGUGAAAUGCGCAGAUAUCAGGAAGAACACCCGUGGCGAAGGCGGCUCUCUGGUACGUGACUGACGCUGAGACGCGAAAGCGUGGGGAGCAAACAGG
rnacentral:rRNA from 1 species